CUCUUGUGGAAACCGUUGGCGAGUGAAGAUCAGUUUAGAUCAAUUUUAAAGGUGUUUAAGCCAAAGUUACUCGCGGGUGAUAGCAUUUUUGAACGGUGAACUAUUUCGUUUUCGGUUUGUGGUUCAUUUAAGUAAAAAAGAGUGUCGAGCAAAAAUCGGUUGGAUAUACGGUGCCAAAUCCCAUUCAACGUGGGUGUUUGGGCAGGAAUCCGAGUCCGUACCGUCAGGACACUCGGUCGUCGCUAGGUGGCAAGCAGCCUAUCCACACCCAUUCCGAUUCCGGGGCCUAUAUAGUCCCGUCGAAUCCGCUGUGCGGCCACGCUAGACACGACGAUUGGAACCAGGACCGAACAACGAGUGCGUCGACGCCCUGUGUGACCUUCCUACGGUGGAACCAUAUGCCAGCUGGCCCUCAAGUAAGCCCGUUAGAUUUUGCACUCAUGAGCUCGAAGAAAAUCCCUGUAAAUAUUGUAAAUAGCACAAAGUAAAAGUUAGUUCGUAGUCCUUUAAAGUUUUUGUUUUACACUCUUUCGCCUAUUAAAUCCUUGAAUUAGAAUUGAAUUUGCAUUUUUUUUACUCUGUAGUUUGGGAAUAGUUUUAGAAUUAGUUUUGGGGUUCGUUUCUUGAUUUCUUUCGUUAUACUUUCACUAGUGACCGUGCGUCUCCAUAAAGUGCUCGAAUUUCGUUAGAAAAGGUAAGAGUAAAUUUAAGUGGUUUUUGCUAUUGGUAUAAGUGAAUUUAUUUGAGUUUUAAGGUAAGAAGUUGGGUCUCCGGUAUUGUAAUUGUUCUUUGAGUUAGAGAUUGAUUGGUGAAGUGAACUGGGGAGUUUGGGAAAUCCUACCUGCCCUGACAUAGGAGUCUUUUGGCCGGACUUGAACCGUACCAGUGGCCCUUCGCAAGAAGGUGGCGCUUAAGUCACUGAGUACCAGUAACCGAACCCGUAGUUUUCCUUGCUUUUUGGACCUCGAACUAAGGAGAAGGUUACA